rnacentral:rRNA from 1 species
UACGAGGGGUGCAAGCGUUAUUCGGAUUAAUUGGGCGUAAAGGGUGCGUAGAUGGCAUGUUAAGUUUGUUGUUAAAUUUCCUGGCCUAACCAGGAAUCUGCGACAAAAACUGGCGUGCUUGAGGGUGGAAGAGAGAAGUGGAAUUCCCGGAGUAGCGGUAAAAUGCGUAGAUCUCGGGAGGAACACCGAUAGCGAAGGCAGCUUCUUGGUACAUUCCUGACAUUGAAGCACGAAAGCGUGGGGAGCAAACAGG